rnacentral:rRNA from 1 species
CAGACCACCAGCUAAGGUCCCAAAAUAUAUGUUAAGUGGAAAAGGAUGUGGCGUUGCCCAGACAACUAGGAUGUUGGCUUAGAAGCAGCCAUCAUUUAAAGAGUGCGUAAUAGCUCACUAGUCGAGUGACACUGCGCCGAAAAUGUACCGGGGCUAAACAUAUUACCGAAGCUGUGGAUUGUCCUUUGGACAAUGGUAGGAGAGCGUUCUAAGGGCGUUGAAGCAUGAUCGUAAGGACAUGUGGAGCGCUUAGAAGUGAGAAUGCCGGUGUGAGUAGCGAAAGACGGGUGAGAAUCCCGUCCACCGAUUGACUAAGGUUUCCAGAGGAAGGCUCGUCCGCUCUGGGUUAGUCGGGUCCUAAGCUGAGGCCGACAGGCGUAGGCGAUGGAUAACAGGUUGAUAUUCCUGUACCACCUAUAAUCGUUUUAAUCGAUGGGGGGACGCAGUAGGAUAGGCGAAGCGUGCGAUUGGAUUGCACGUCUAAGCAGUAAGGCUGAGUAUUAGGCA